rnacentral:rRNA from 1 species
GGUUGACCUCGGAUCAGGUAGGGAUACCCACUGAACUUAA